CGGCAUAUAGAGCCGAUCUGCAAAGUGACACUAACAGGAGUGCCAACACAAAUUUCUACUUUUGAAAAAAUGCAUGAAUGUAAUGUAUUAAAUGCAUUACAAUACAAAUGCAUGUAUUAAAUAAAAUAAAGUACCAAACGAAAAAAGCAUUAAAUGAAAAAAAAAUAUUACCAAAUGAAAAAAGCAUUACAUUUAAAAAAUGUUUUUUUUUUUUUUUAAGACCUAUAUAUGCCUUUUCUCAAAAUUAAAUUAGCCUUACCCUGUUCUGUAAAUGAAUAAAGUCGGCUGAAUGACGUUCUCGGAAUUUUCUGCACAAGACUAUAAUCUUAUCAGAACUAUUUUUUCCAAUGCUUAGUUCACUAUCAGAAAACGAGCUUUUGAAAAUUUUUAAACGUUUAAAUAUUUUAAUCUAACCCUCUUUACCUCAGAUUGCAUUUACGGCUUCUUCAGAAACUAUAAAUUAGCAUUUUGAAGCUAAAAUACAUUUUAGAUGAUCAUCAAGUUCAGUUGGUCAUUAAAAGUUGCUGGAGAAAUAUGCUGGACAUGCUUUUGAUUAGAUGAUUGUUCAAAAUAUUGAAUAUCAGGAAUGUAUCAUAUGUAAAGCCUGAUAUUACACCGCAUAAUGUUUUUUUCUUUAAUAGCUGUGCACACCGCAUAUACACAUCGAUUGAUGGUCCUUAUACUGAGACAGAAGAUUUCUGCCCCUACUUGGUGCAGGUUGCCAGCUUGAACAAGGCCAUGACGAUCCGCUUUCAGGUCGGAACCGGUGCCAACCUGCGAUAGCUGCGACAUCUUGACCAAUAUUACAGUCUUAUCAGAAGGGCAACUGUUCCCUUUUGAUUGCAAUUCCUCCUCUUCUGAUUUCUUUUAUUUGCGAAAUUAAAAUGAUAGUAAACUGGCUAAUUUUAAUGAAUCAAUACUCUCCCCAUUUUACCAAAACUUCAGAGGAAAAAAAUUAGGGACAUCAGGGAGGCGAAUUGGCAAUAAACACAUUUCUGAAUGGAAACGGCUUCAGAGCAGAUUUGUUUUUUUAAGGCAUGACAUCAUCAUGCACACCCAUUUUAUCGAUAAAAGGCCAUUUGAAUGGAAACAGGCAGAAGGCAGCAAAUCUUACCAUUAGUUUCCAACCACCUUUUGCGCUAUUUUGUUAUCGACAAAGUGAAAAUGCGGAAUUUAUUUUUUUCACAAAUAAUCAGAAGAGGAGGAAUUGCAAUCAAAAAGGAACAGUUUCCCUUCUGAUGGGCAUCUAAUCCUUCAUCUAAUCAAAAGCAUUGCCAUCACAACUGACAAGACUGGUAGUGUACCAUGGUAGUCACAAAGCCUUUAUGGCAUGACAUGGAAAUGUAGUUUUUCUGACUUGUAACGAUGGCAGGGGAUGUUAGAAGAGAAUGUUGGAGGUUGGGGUCAGCCUUAACCCUCUGGGUCGACGGACACGCCUGCACGUCCUGCUGGAUUUUUUCGUCAUUACAGCGGAAACAACAUAAAAUUCUCUGUCAUUUUGGGGCAUACAGAUGUAUCAGUGUAAUCAUUAGAAACUAUAAAGGGUCUACUUUUAUUUGUGUACACUCACGAUAACAAAAAAAUCUUGUGCUUUUGUAAAAUAAAGAAAAAAAAAUAGGGUGAGCUGUCAGCGGUGUCUGGGUUCAUGAGCAUAUAUCUGAAACAUUUCACAAAAAUGAACUGAAACUCUGCAAAUACUUAUCACAAAAACAUGAAACAUAUGUCUAAAGAAAGCUUAAACUGUCUACUUUUAAAUAAAACAAUUCAAACAAAUAUUUAAAACAAAUAUUCUCCUGCAAUGUAAUUGGUAUGAAACAAAGCGAUGUACAAUUUCUCCUGGCUCAACUAAUUAUCCCUAAUGUGAUCACACCCAAGGGCAGACAGCGCUAUUCAUACGGUAAUGUGCUGAGGCGAUCAAUGCAAAUGGUGAACGCCCCCUACUGUGUCUUAAAAACAAAGUUCAUUCACUUUUCUGCACAUUUGGAAGAUCGCACGAUACAUAAGUGAGAAAACUCCUGGAUAGUGACGAAGAGUUAAAAUUUUCCUCAGAAGAAGGGUGGGACUCCGAUGAACAUUCGUAUUUUGAAGAGAGACUUGAUCCAGCCAAGGAUACAAUUUCGGAUGAGGCAGUCAGACACUUGUCCAUAAACUGUACGACAAAUAGCUGCAAGUUUUUAAAUAAAUUCUUGCCUGCUUUGUUCAGUCUGAACCCAAUACCCAAAGCUCUGGCUACGCUGGACUUUGAUGGUAAACUGCUACCUGUGAAAGAGAUGAUUGUGGGAUGCUAAUCGAUUCAGAGUGGCACAUCCACAACACCCUGUGAGUAAAUAGAAUGAUUAAUUUGGAGCCUCUGCUGGGUUUGUAUGAUUAUAUGUACAGUAGUGUGUGUGUGCUUAUUGUUGAUGAUCACUGUUUCAGCUGCUGAAGCCAUUCCUUCAAGUCUCCAGGUUCAACAAGAAUACAUGUGCCAAAUACCUGUGUAGCAUUUAUUAAAUAUAUACUAUAUAGGUUAUUCUAUCUAGACUAGGUUUCAGAAGAUUUAGAUAAGUAGGAGGUAGUGGACUGAAACAAUAACAGUAACGACACAAUUAUUAAGGUAAAGAAUGAAAAUAUUUAUAUGUGUAGGCAUGAAUAGUAUAACAGCAUAAAUGUAAAACCCUAGGGUGCACCCUCUAAGAAGCCUAAGAUUUCUAUACAAUGUAUACAUCCAUCCAUCCAUCGUCAACCGCUUAUCCUGUGUACAGGGUCGCGGGGGGCUGGAGCCUAUCCCAGCUAACAUUGGGCGAAAGGCGGGGGACACCCUGGACAGGUCGCCAGUCCAUCGCAGGGCCACACAUAGACAUACACUCACACUACAAUGUAUACAAUGAAAAUAAAAUACAAUAUUAAAAAGUGCUUCUUUACAAAGAUCAUGCUCUUUAGUCCAUGAAUGUAAAAUAAAAUAAAAUAAAAUACCAUCCUCUAAGAUUCUGUAGUUCUAGUUGGGUGGCUCGCCAUCAAACUCCAAAUCUUUCCAAAGAAUAAAAAAAAACCUGACCAAGUUUCAAGUCGGAUAAAACACCCUCAAAUCCCUCAAUGCUCUCUGGCAGCGGUGCAGUUCUCAACGUACUCUUCAAAGUGUUUAGAUAACAUAUGCAAUUAUAUUUAAAUGCUUUUUAUGUUAAUGUAUCUGUUUUACUCCUCGCAUAGGCCGCUAACAGGCUGACUGUGUGCUGUCUGCAUGGCAGAGAACAUUCUGCUGUCACCUAUCAAUCAAGUGGGCUACACCUGCAAAAAACUGCCUUUGCGCAGAGCAAGACCCUGCAGUGUUUGUGCAAAUAUGUCUGCCAUGGAUUGUGAAAGGGCACUCUCAGACUGGGUUUGAACUAAAGAAGCUCACACAAAUGUUAAGUCACAUGCUGCCACCCGAUGCUGACACUCACCAGGAGAUUCUUAAGUAUAGUGUGGACCAGACCCUGCUCACUUUCAAAGAGGGAGAUGAUGUUGUGACAUGGUGGGUCUCUGUCUUUGAUACAGGAAAAUAUCCAUGACUGUGCCAAGCUGUAAAUCUGCCAUGUCCAUCUUCCAUGGUCCGUUGGUGGAAUCAUCUUUCAAUCUGAUGAAUGACAUCAUAGAACCCAGAAGCACCAGCAUGAACAUAGCUACAUUUUGUGCCAUCCAGACUGUGAAAUACACUUUGCUGUCCAGGAAGCAGAGUGUCAUAGAGAUGUUCAGUUGGGAUGAUGUUAAGUUUGGGGCUGUUGACAGAAGGCUGCGCAGCUAAAUCAAUUCGGCAGGAACAAGAGACAAGGCCCAACGAAAAAAGAAGUUGCUCAGAGUCCGAGAGAGGAGGAUGGAGCUUGACUGCCAGCCUUCUAGAAGUGCUGCAGAGAAAAGGCUUGAAGAGGAAAGAAAAUGUUGCAAGAGGCACAUUGCUAAGCAGCGAAAACGGCCACUUGAAAGACUUGUGCAAGCCAAAAGACUGAUUAUUUUUUUACUUGAAGCAGAUGUUGUCUUUUUCCUUUAUUUUCUUGUCAGAGUGCACCAGAAUGCUUCGUUUACCUGUUAAAAUCACAAACAUUUUAUUAUGGGGAGGAUGCCCCCAGACCCCCCUACAGUGUUUUCAUUCGGAAACAUGUCACCUUUUUCACCUCUUGUGAGUUUGCAUGUCUGAGGUAUGUUUGACAUGGUAGAAAAGUCUGGAGUCUCAGAGAUGCUAUCGAUGAAAACAGACAAAGUGUGUGUAUGAAAAGCGGGGUAUUGUCCUUGAUUAGCCGCUAAUGAUAUGCAGGUGCAUGUAACAGAACGCAGGGGAGAGUGAGCGCUGACGGCAGUGAGGAUGAGAGAGAGAGAGAGAGAGAGAGACUGGUCCAGAUAAAAGUUUAGAAAAUUUUGCAAAAACAAAUGGCUUCUUUUCUACUGAUGACUUGUACUGAAAUUUGUAUGUACUUAAGCAUUUCUAUUUAUAUGUGUGUAUGGUGUUGUUUUGUGUUUAAGCACUGUGAAGGCUUUUGGGGGUGUGUGUUAUAAAGCGUUAUGAGUUUAUUCCGUAUGUAUAAUUCAGUUUAAGUCUAUUCUUGUCUUUGUUGGAAUAAAUAAAAUAUGUUAAUAACAAAAAAAGCCUAUGUAAAUAAUACAAAUAAACAACAUGAAAACUGUAUAACAUGUAUCGUACACUAAAACAGCAAGCAUGCAACUUGUACAGUU